rnacentral:rRNA from 1 species
GACGAACGCUGGCGGCGUGCCUAAUACAUGCAAGUCGAACGCAGUGGGGACGGGUGAGUAACACGUGGGUAACCUCCCAUCAGAGGGGAUAACACUUGGAAACAGGUGCUAAACCGAUACUGAUGGAUGAACCCGCGGUGCAUUAGCUAGUGGGUGGGGUAACGGCUCACCAAGGCCACGAUGCAUAGCCGACCUAAGAGGGUGAUCGACCACACGGGAACGGAGACACGGUCCAGCCUCAUACGAGAGGCAGCAGUGGGGAAUAUUGAACAAUGGGCGCAAGCCUGAUGGAGCCAGGCCGCGUGUAUGAAGAAGGCCUUCGGGGUGUAAAGUACUUUCAGCGGGGAAGCGUUACCCGCAGAAGAAGCACCGGCUGACUCCGUGCCAGCAGCCGCGGUAAUUC